UACAGAGGUCCCAAGCGUUGUUCGGAUUCAUUGGGCGUAAAGGGUGCGUAGGUGGCCUGGCAAGUUAUCAGUGGUAAAUCGAGGCCCAACCUCGUGGAAACUGGCAAUUACUGUUUGGCUUGAGUGCAGGAGAGGUUAACGGAACUCUAUGUGGAGCGGUAAAAUGCAACAGAUAUAUAGAAGAACAUCAAUAACGGCGAAGGCAGUUAACUAUUCGUGUUAACUGACACUGAGGCACGAAAGCGUGGGGAGCAAACGG
rnacentral:rRNA from 1 species